rnacentral:sRNA from 1 species
GCAUAUCAAUAAGCGGAGGAAAAGAAACCAACAGGGAUUGCCUCAGUAACGGCGAGUGAAGCGGCAACAGCUCAAAUUUGAAAUCUGGCCGCAAGGUCCGAGUUGUAAUUUGUAGAGGAUGCUUUUGGCGAGGUGACUUCCGAGUUCCCUGGAACGGGACGCCAUAGAGGGUGAGAGCCCCGUACGGUCGUGCCACCGAGCCUCUGUAAAGCUCCUUCGACGAGUCGAGUAGUUUGGGAAUGCUGCUCUAAAUGGGAGGUGUACGUCUUCUAAAGCUAAAUACCGGCCAGAGACCGAUAGCGCACAAGUAGAGUGAUCGAAAGAUGAAAAGCACUUUGAAAAGAGGGUUAAAAAGUACGUGAAAUUGUUGAAAGGGAAGCAUUCAUGACCAGACUUGGGCUUGGUUGAACAUCCGGCGUUCUCGCCGGUGCACUCUGCCAGCUCAGGCCAGCAUCAGUUUGCCCCGGGGGACAAAGGCGGUGGGAAUGUAGCUCCCUUCGGGGAGUGUUAUAGCCCGCCGUGUAAUGCCCUGGGGUGGACUGAGGUUCGC